UUUGAAUAUUUUAAAUAUUUGUGAGUGAUAUUAAUAAUCUUAAUUUUUUGUUUGUGGCUACAUUUACAUUAUUUGGUAUAAUUUAUUUUCUGAACAAUUUUUAUAUGUAAUAGAAUUUCAGAAUGAAUACAUCUAAAAAUUAAUGACUUAGAAUUUCUAGUGAGUCUAUGCUAUUUGCAUGAAGUGAGCACAAGAAAUUGAACUGGUUUUUCAUUUUAAUAAUUACUAGGUAUUUACACGGGUGAUCAAUUCAAGAAAAGGAUCUUUGUAAGCAAUUCAUGUUAUAACUAAAGUAGCAAUGCAUUGCAGUAAUAAAUACAUAUACUAUAAUGAAGACUUUGAAAAGAAUAUGAUAUUAGUAUAAAGUAUAUUUUAUACAAAUAGAUGGGAAAUUAAAUUAAAGAUAUAAACAUUCAUGUUUUUAAGAAGUCGGAUAUGACUAAUUUUAUGUUAUUUCAAAGAUUAUGAACUUAUUUGGAAUCUUAUGCUAAUCUGGAAGAGAUUACUUCAUAAUUUUGUGUUUCCACAUAGACAAUGGCAUUCCCCUGUCUAUCAUAUGUCUUAUAUUUUCAUACAAGAAUUGCCUUUCUUUCUUUAUUAUUUUGCAGUUAAUGCUUAGUUCAGUUCUUCAAUAUUUAUAAGCAUAUUACUGUUGGUUUGUGGUUUAAAGCAUAUGUAGAUUGCAUUGUAUUGUAUUGUAUUGUAUUGUUGUUCAUUUACUAUAUGCCCUGAUGCAGAGUCUCACUGAGCUGCUUCCUUGGGUCCCAAAUUCAUCACUGGAACCACAAUGCCUCUCCACAUCAUGUGACAUUCCUAACAGAUGCAAAUGAUCACAUUCUGCUGAUGUAUUGAAAACCACCUGCUUUUUUAAAAAAACUUUUUAAAUAUUAAUUUUAUUUCUUAUGUAUAAAAAUCAGUUAAAUUAUAUUUUCUAGAACUAAAGUCUGACAAUAAGUUCAUAGUACGCACCAUUGAUAAUCAAUAUUCAUGAAAGCAGUCUAUCUCUAGUUUGGGAAUUUAGCCAGUGCUAUCUCUUACUAUGCUACCAAUUUUCCAACAUGAACUAUCAAUUAAUUUGCACCUUUCCUAUUACUUAAACAUUAAAUCCAGUUUUCAGGUUUGAACAAGUAAGACCUGUAGAGAAAACUCAUGUAUCUUGAAUGAGUAGAGAUGUUAAUGUAUCCUUAGUAGGGAGUUAUAUCAAAUUGCUAAAAGGAGUGACAGUAGUUCUAAAUAUAC
rnacentral:lncRNA from 1 species